AGAAAAGAGAGAAGUAUCAAAACACCUUGGAGCAAAGAAAAAAUGUCAUCAUGAGGAAUGCCAGAACUGUCAAUGUUAUCAAUUACCAGAUAUGUCAAAACUGAUCACUGCUGACCCAUCUCCCCACCAGCGACUUAUCAAUCUUAUUAAUCAAAGUAGACAACAACUUAACGAGGACUGUGAAAGGAAUGGCAAAGGUAACUGUGACCUGACCCUGGAUGAAAAUGCUAAAUACAGUUCAAGAGAGUCCUACAUCCAGGAAACGAC